CCUACGGGUGGCAGCAGUGAGGAAUAUUGGUCAAUGGACGCAAGUCUGAACCAGCCAUGCCGCGUGCAGGAAGACGGCUCUAUGAGUUGUACACUGCUUUUGUACGAGGGUAAACGCAGAUACGCGUAUCUGUCUGAAAGUAUCGUACGAAUAAGGAUCGGCUAACUCCGUGCCAGCAGCCGCGUGAAUACGGAGGAUUCAAUCGUUAUCCGGAUUUAUUGGGUUUAAAGGGUGCGUAGGCGGUCGGAUAAGUUAGGUGGGAAAUCCCGAGGCUCAACUUCGGAAUUGCCUCUGAAACUGUUCAGCUAGAGAGUAGUUGCGGUAGGCGGAAUGUAUGGUGUAGCGGUGAAAUGCAUAGAGAUCAUACAGAACACCGAUUGCGAAGGCAGCUUACCAAGCUACUUCUGACGUUGAGGCACGAAAGCGUGGGGAGCAAACAGGAUUAGAUACCCCUGUAGUC
rnacentral:rRNA from 1 species